rnacentral:rRNA from 1 species
CAGUAGCCACGGUAAUACGUAGGGUGCAAGCGUUAAUCGGAAUUACUGGGCGUAAAGCGUGCGCAGGCGGUUAUAUAAGACAGAUGUGAAAUCCCCGGGCUAACCUGGGAACUGCAUUUGUGACUGUAUAGCUAGAGUACGGCAGAGGGGGAUGGAAUUCCGCGUGUAGCAGUGAAAUGCGUAGAUAUGCGGAGGAACACCGAUGGCGAAGGCAAUCCCCUGGGCCUGUACUGACGCUCAUGCACGAAAGCGUGAAGAGCAAACAGGAUUAGAUACCCGCGUAGUCCCUGUCUCUUAUACA